rnacentral:rRNA from 1 species
UGCAGUCGUACGAGAGUUUUUACUCAAGUGGCGGACGGGUGAGUAACACGUAAGAAUUUGCCUUUAGGAGGGGGACAACAUCGGGAAACUGUUGCUAAUACCCCAUAUGCUUUCGAGUGAAAUGGUUUUUCCGCCUAAAUAGAAGCUUGCGUCUGAUUAGCUUGUUGGUGAGGUAAUGGCUCACCAAGGCGACGAUCAGUAUCUGGUUUGAGAGGAUGAUCAGACACACUGGAACUGAGACACGGUCCAGACUCCUACGGGAGGCAGCAGUAGGGAAUUUUCCGCAAUGGGCGAAAGCCUGACGGAGCAAUACCGCGUGAGGGAUGACGGCCUAUGGGUUGUAAACCUCUUUUUUCAGGGAGGAAUCAAUGACGUGUACCUGAAGAAUAAGCAUCGGCUAACUCCGUGCCAGCAGCCGCGGUAAUACG